CCUGUCUUGCUUGUGAUUGGCGCAUAAUAAGACAUGGCCGCCUUCUUCCGGUGUUUCUUUACCUUCGGCAAGGUGUUUCUUGAGCCGUGAAGUUCGUUGGUCAAAUGAAUUCUAUGCAUAUUCGAAUCGUCGAGCCUAAAUCGAUUCGGAUUGCUGAUGUUUUUUGCUUUCCUCCAACUUCUUCCUAGCCUGGUCCAUUCGUAAUUGUGCUUGGAGUCUCUUCUUUUCCGUAAUCUUCUUCACCAGAGGGAUUUGAAGGGGUGCCAAGCCAAGACGGUUCAAGAUAGCUGCGUUACUGGUAUGGACGGUCUCGAAGGACGGUGGAGCAUCCUCGGCGCCAAUCGCAAGAAUGCCAGUGGAAAUGAUCAAGAGACUACCACUCAGAAGAUGUAAUCUGAAAUAAAAAAUAAUCGUCAGUUCAACUGAUCGAUUUCACAGAACGUUGACUCGAUUUAUGGACGUUCCUGUCGCACUGUCGUACGUCGUUAUUUCGUUCGGGUAACCAAUUAGAAGGGGUGCCUUGGGGGUGAGGAAUAUCUUGCGAGUUCGAAGACACCGACAUUAUCGUUGUAGAUUGGCGAGGCAGGAAAAUGGAUAGAAAUCUAGAAGGAGAGAAGAGGAGGACAAAGAGUUAUGUCGUCUUAAGGAACGAUCCAUCACGGCUGCCACGUCGUAAAGUCCAAAAGAAGAAGAACAAGGAGUCCAAGCACGACCCUGACCGAUGCUACUCGAAGAAACGAUUGGAGUAAGAACAACGAGAGAAUGAGAGAGAUGGAUAGAAGCUUUAAACCACCUGCCAUACCAUAAAUACGGUUCCCGUAUCCAAGAAAAGAGACAAAGCAAAAUUUUACUUAGACGUUGACCGUGAAAGUGACGAGUUUUCUAAUGAGCCGUCUCGACAAUUUUACAAUCAAAUCGAACAUUUGAUUCUUUCUCGGAAAUCGAAUCUGAUUAUUUGAAAGGUCUAAGAAGCCGAUGAAUUAAAUAGAUUUGUUAUACGAUUUAGACGUAACGACAGAGUCAUUACCUGUUAAACGAUGAAGUAUAGUAUGUACUCAUGAUAAACGUUUUUUGAUCAUUAAAGGGUCUAUUACAGAGGUUAAAUCGUUUCGUGUUGCCUAGUGCUAUUCAUCUAUGUUAUCAAGACCGUUGUUAGAUAUAAAAUGAACACGAAACUUUCGUAUCUCGAAGAUAGGUACUAUACUCAUUUCUUCGUAAUAUUCUACCAGUGUAAAACAACUCAACAUGCGUUCGUACGGAUGAUAAA